GACGUAGGGGGCCAGCGUUGUUCGGAAUUACUGGGUGUAAAGGGUUCGUAGGCGGUGUGGCAAGUCGGGAGUGAAAUCUCUGGGCUCAACCCAGAGUCUGCUUCCGAAACUGCUGUGCUUGAGUGUGGGAGAGGCGCGUGGAAUUGCAGGUGUAGCGGUGAAAUGCGUAGAUAUCUGCAGGAACACCCGUGGCGAAAGCGGCGCGCUGGACCACUACUGACGCUGAGGAACGAAGGUCAGGGGAGCAAACGGG
rnacentral:rRNA from 1 species